UUCNCUAAUUUAGGUGACUUGCCUGGUGUA
rnacentral:piRNA from 1 species